rnacentral:rRNA from 1 species
CUACGGGGGGCUGCAGUGAGGAAUAUUGCACAAUGGGGGGAACCCUGAUGCAGCAACGCCGCGUGGAGGAUGACGCAUUUCGGUGUGUAAACUCCUUUUAUAUGUCAAGAAAAUGACGGUAGCAUAUGAAUAAGCACCGGCUAACUCCGUGCCAGCAGCCGCGGUAAUACGGAGGGUGCAAGCGUUACUCGGAAUCACUGGGCGUAAAGGACGCGUAGGCGGGUUGGAAAGUCAGGUGUGAAAUCCUACAGCUUAACUGUAGAACGGCACUUGAAACUUCUAAUCUAGAGUAUGGGAGGGGAGAUGGAAUUAGUGGUGUAGGGGUAAAAUCCGUAGAUAUCACUAGGAAUACCUAAAGCGAAGGCGAUCUCCUGGAACAUUACUGACGCUAAGGCGUGAAAGCGUGGGGAGCAAACAGGAUUAGAUACCCUCGUAGUC